rnacentral:rRNA from 1 species
GACGAACGCUGGCGGCGUGCCUAAUACAUGCAAGUUGAGCGCUGAAGGUUGGUACUUGUACCAACUGGAUGAGCAGCGAACGGGUGAGUAACGCGUGGGGAAUCUGCCUUUGAGCGGGGGACAACAUUUGGAAACGAAUGCUAAUACCGCAUAAAAACUUUAAACACAAGUUUUAAGUUUGAAAGAUGCAAUUGCAUCACUCAAAGAUGAUCCCGCGUUGUAUUAGCUAGUUGGUGAGGUAAAGGCUCACCAAGGCGAUGAUACAUAGCCGACCUGAGAGGGUGAUCGGCCACAUGGGGACUGAGACACGGCCCAAACUCCUACGGGAGGCAGCAGUAGGGAAUCUUCGGCAAUGGACGAAAGUCUGACCGAGCAACGCCGCGUGAGUGAAGAAGGUUUUCGGAUCGUAAAACUCUGUUGGUAGAGAAGACCGUUGGUGAGAGUGGAAAGCUCAUCAAGUGACGGUAACUACCCAGAAAGGGACGGCUAACUACGUG